GACGAACGCUGGCGGCGUGCCUAAUACAUGCAAGUUGAGCGCUGAAGGUUGGUACUUGUACCAACUGGAUGAGCAGCGAACGGGUGAGUAACGCGUGGGGAAUCUGCCUUUGAGCGGGGGACAACAUUUGGAAACGAAUGCUAAUACCGCAUAAAAACUUUAAACACAAGUUUUAAGUUUGAAAGAUGCAAUUGCAUCACUCAAAGAUGAUCCCGCGUUGUAUUAGCUAGUUGGUGAGGUAAAGGCUCACCAAGGCGAUGAUACAUAGCCGACCUGAGAGGGUGAUCGGCCACAUUGGGACGGAGACACGGCCCAAACUCCUACGGGAGGCAGCAGUAGGGAAUCUUCGGCAAUAGACGAAAGUCUGACCGAGCAACGCCGCGUGAGUGAAGAAGGUUUUCGGAUCGUAAAACUCUGUUGGUAGAGAAGAACGUUGGUGAGAGUGGAAAGCUCAUCAAGUGACGGUAACUACCCAGAAAGGGACGGCUAACUACGUG
rnacentral:rRNA from 1 species